rnacentral:lncRNA from 1 species
CCUAAUACCAUCUUAUCUGUCACGCCCCGUGUCCCGCCUAUUUGGUCGGGUUCGGGCACGCCAACAGACCGCCGAACGGACAGGGUUUCCUCUAUACCGCUGACAGAGUCUCCCCUGUACGUCCAAGGCGUCGCAAUCAAUACAAUGCACGAAGUUCCAACCAAAAACACAUUUCAAUCAAAGAUUGCAUAAGAAAGUAUUAAAAAUAUAAAACAACUAAAUUAUUACAACAUUCAUCUUUAGGUGCAUUUUACAUCACAAUUACUAUUAUAUUUUUCCAACUUCCGAAUACAAUCCAAGUUACAAUAAUUUAUUACAAGUUUAAUCCAUUCAUCUUGUUCUUUUCAUUUUCCUCUACCCCUA